UACAGAGGGGGCAAGCGUUAUUCGGAAUUAUUGGGCGUAAAGGGCGCGUAGGCGGCUUGGCAAGUGGGAGGUGAAAGCCCUCGGCUUAACCGAGGAACUGCCCUCCAAACUGCUUUGCUUGAGGCCGGGAGAGGUGAGUGGAAUUCCCAGUGUAGCGGUGAAAUGCGUAGAUAUUGGGAGGAACACCAGUGGCGAAGGCGGCUCACUGGACCGGUUCUGACGCUGAGGCGCGAAAGCGUGGGGAGCAAACGGG
rnacentral:rRNA from 1 species